GCUGUAAACGAUGAGUACUAGGUGUCGGGGGUUACCCCCUUCGGUGCCGCAGCUAACGCAUUAAGUACUCCGCCUGGGAAGUACGCUCGCAAGAGUGAAACUCAAAGGAAUUGACGGGGCCCCGCACAAGUAGCGGAGCAUGUGGUGUAAUUCGAAGCAACGCGAAGAACCUUACCUAAGCUUGACAUCCCAAUGACAUCUCCUUAAUCGGAGAGGUCCUUUCGGGGACAUUGGUGACCGGUGGUGCAUGGUUGUCGUCCGCUCGUGUCGUGAGAUGUUGGGUUAAGUCCCGCAACGAGCGCAACCCUUGUCUUUAGUUGCCAUCAUUAAGUUGGGCACUCUAGAGAGACUGCCAGGGAUAACCUGGAGGAAGGUGGGGAUGACGUCAAAUCAUCAUGCC
rnacentral:rRNA from 1 species